rnacentral:misc_RNA from 1 species
GAUGUUGAUGUUGACAAUUGCUUCUAAAACUCUAGGAUGGGAAUCAUUGUGGUCAACAACUUCUCUUCACCUCAUUCCUUUGUAAGUUAAAUAACAUAUUUGUACCGCUAAAUGCAGAGGUAGAAAAAGUAUUGGUUCUGAAAGCAAAUUGAUAUUCAACAGUAUUUUCUUCCGAUCUAAUUUACAAGUUCCAUCAAUUAGUGUGGUAAGUAGUACUCAGUUUUUUCCCAACAUUUUUUUUGGUUAUGAACAGUUUCCCUGAUAUUUAAUAUGGUUUUUCAGGAAAAAAUUACCAUUUCAAAUUUCUUCAAAAGAAAAGCAAAGCAUUUGCCCAUAGUGAUGCC